rnacentral:rRNA from 1 species
UACGUAGGUGGCAAGCGUUGUUCGGAAUUACUGGGCGUAAAGGGCUCGUAGGCGGCCAACUAAGUCAGACGUGAAAUCCCCAGGCUUAACCUGGGAACUGCGUCUGAUACUGGAUGGCUUGAAUCCGGGAGAGGGAUGCAGAAUUCCAGGUGUAGCGGUGAAAUGCGUAGAUAUCUGGAGGAAUACCGGUGGCGAAGGCGGCACCCUGGACCGGCAUUGACGCUGAGGAGCGAAAGCCAGGGGAGCAAACGGG